rnacentral:lncRNA from 1 species
UUUUUUUUUUUUUUUUUUUUUUUAAGAUUUUAUUUAUUUAUUCAUGAGAGACAGAGAGACGGGGGGGGGGGGGGGGGAGAGAGAGAGAGAGAGGCAGAGACACAGGGAGAAGGAGAAGCAGGCUCCAUGCAGGGAGCCCGAUGUGGGACUUGAUCCUGGGUCUCCAGGAUCAUACCCUGGGCCGAAGGUGGCGCUAAACUGCUGAGCCACCUGGGCUGCCCUGGCUGGAAGUUUUAUAAGAAAAGGCCCCCCCGGAGGAAACAUGUCCAUCUGGACUGGACUGCUGGAUAAGCCUGCCUAUUUCUGAGCUGCAGUAUUAGGAAAAUCCACAGUUGCUGCACUCCUAAGCCACAUUAUCCCUUCCAGCCUUAAUCAGUAAUAAGUAUGGUAUUCUGAUCUCCGUCUGUCCUAUUCCUUGUAAGUGGCUUACAAUUAAGAACCACUUUUUAACUGCGUUGACCUUGGAAAGUUAUUUUACUAUAGUUGUCAUUAUCCACUCAUAUUUGUCAAGUUUUGGGGCAUCUUCUGGCCCUCUUUUGGAUGUUAUCAUUAUUUUGUUAACCUGGUAGACUGUGAAUGUAAAGUGCCUAGCACAGGGCUUUGCAUUCAAUUAAAGUUUACCUUCUGCUACUAUGUUAAUUUUAAUCUAGUCAUCACCACAUCUUCUAAAUUCCAUCUUCCCUUUAACUUCCUCCAAUAAAUUAUCUUCUGUCUUUCCUCAGUCUUCAACACUUUCUUAUGUCUCUAGACAUUGCCCUAAAUCAACCUAAAUUUUGUUCUUAAAAUGUAGUCCCAGGACCAGCAGCAUCAGCAUCUUCUGGAAAUUUGUUGGAAAUGGAAACUCAGGCUCCAUUUCAGAUUUACUGAAGCAGAAACCCUGAGGGUGGAGCCCAGCAAUUUGUGAUUUAACAAGCUGUUCAGGUGAUUCUGAUGCACAUUCAAGUUUAAGAACCAGAUGCCUAUAUCAUUACGUUUCUGUUCAGCUCUAUAGCUUAUCUCUGCCCCGUUACUUUUCUUUUUGUGCUUUAGUCUCCUUUGUAAUUACCAACCAUUUUGUUUAGUUAUCAUUAUCAAUUGUUUCACACCUGAAAGCCCCCAUCACCAUCCAAAAAGGGAAAAAAGGUCAACUAUUUUGCUUUUAAAUGAUUUAAAAUUAGGAUCUACAAGUCUCAUACAUAUUUUUUGUUCACUCCUAAUUAUUAUAUCUGAUUUAUUGAAAAGUCAGGCAACUCAGUAUGUUUUAAUUUAGUUUACCAGGUGUUCAUUUUCACAGCCAUUAUAUAACAUAAGCCCACUCACAAAUCUGUAAGUCUUUGCUCUGUGUUGUUUUUAAUAGGUAAACAGAAAAAUCUCGUAUUACAAGAAACUACAGGUACCAUGGGAAAAAAAAAAUUGGUUUUCACAGUACUGGUUUCCCAACAACUUGAAAAGCAUCAAGCAAUUCAAUUAUCCUAAAAUUGCCAUCCAAUUUGUUUCUCUGUGGGAGAACUACUAUUCUUAUGUCAUGAAGACCAGAAAAUUAUCUGCUUUUUUGGAAUAUGAGUCUUUCUAUUUUUGCUGAAUCUUUGAAAGAAUAUUUAGGGACAGUAGGGAGGGGGGGAAGGGUUGGGACCAGAGGGAAAGGGAAGAGGUGAAAUGGGAGCUGACGAAAAAAGUGUUUGUCAUUUCAAAUGACCUCCAAAUAUCACUAUUUGUUAAAUAUACUUUGAAAUUAUUCUCUGGUAAAUUUAAUCUAAUGCUUACAUCCUUCAAAUAAUUGAUUGGUUCAAGUAAUUAUUAACUUCCCUCCUACCAGUCCUCAAAUGCUUAUGUAAUUAAUUUUCAAUCAACAAAAUUUGUAGACGUGCAUGAUUUUAUAAUAAAUUAGUAUUAAUGUGUAACAUUUUGAGGAAAUGUCAUUCUUAUGCCAUUUAUUAUGAGGCAUUUUUUUGGGAAGCAAGUCAUUCACUUAAACUGUAAUGAAAAGCAUUUAGUAUUUAUUAUUAGUGUGUAGGAGGCUUGUUCUCAAGGGAGUAUUUCACAGCUAUUAUUCAUUCAAUCUUAGUUUCCCUGGGAGGGAAGGAAAAGGAGACCAGUGAGCCAAAAGUCAAUGAGUUGAGUCAUUGUUCAGCUCCAUUCCAAAGGACUACUCUGUUUCAACCCCAGGUUCAAGUUAAGAUUCUC